UCUGACUGCAGACGCCGAAGAGCAAGUUCCAAAUUCUUGACAUACUGCAGAGCAUUCAAACCAUCUUCAGGGUGCUGUAGGAAGCAUAUAAAUAGAUCUACCAGUUGCUGAAAUUCCUCUUUUGUUUCAGCAGAGACUCCAAUCAACUGGCUCAAGUAGACCUGCUUCGAUCCGUGCCAGUCCUAUAAGAACAGAAAACAUGGGGGAUGAAUUUUAUUAUCCUUCUCUGGAAAGCGUGGUCCACACCUUUUGUGUCAUAGAUACUAGGGAACAUAAUAGAGUAAGUGCCUGUUUGUGUAAGCUUCAGGUGCUGUGUAAAAUUUGUCAGACACUGCGCCACAACUUGGAUACAGAGCCAUUUUUGUUGCCCCACUUGAGGGAACUAAUUAUCAGACACCUAACACUAUUGGAGAGGUUGUCCACUACCUCCAAAUUUCAGCGCAUACUCGACUACAUGAAGCUAUCCCUUGAGGCAAAUGAUUCAAACUUGUUACAAGACUUGGCCAUAGGCACUGUCAAUUUACUGGGCUGUCAAAGUCCAGAGAUUUUGUCUAUCCCAUAUGACAAAGAUCAGCCUGUACAUGAAUGGUGUGCAUGUUUCCUGACCUCUGUAGACGAGGAAGCCUUGAGAAAAAUAUCUUCUAUGUUGGACAAUAAACACUUUUCUUAUAUGUACAACUUUAAAACAUUCUUAAAGUAUUCACUAGAGUUAGAAACAGCUGCAGACUUUGAUUUAUCUACUGGACUCAAUGUCCUUGUGUAUUGGGUAAGCGUCUUUAAACUGUUCAGUGUUUGUGUCCAAAGUCAGUUUCUGCUGGACAGCCUUGUGGCAUUUAAUGCCCUUUUUAAAAAUCAUGUAAAAGAGUUAGAAGCGAUUGUGGAAUCUGACACAAACCUGCUCUGCUAUAGCACAUCUGUUGUGUGGGCAAAAUUGUCUAACUUAAACCAUCUGCUCCACAGACUUCAGACUAGUAACAACACUUUAGUUUUUGAUGAAAUACUGAUCUGUCUGCGUGGUUUACAAAUUUAUAUAAAAUGUUUACCUACCUUAUCGGCUGAAGGGGAAUCCGAGUCAGAGGCCAUCGCUGCAGAAAUUCCCUCGUAGUGCAGGAGUUGUAUUUUUGAGUGUAGAUUGAAAAGAGUUGUGCUCUCUCCUCAGCCUUUGAAGGGACAUUUCAUGACUCAUGUAGGAGGAGCUACCAGAUUUCCAUAAAAGUGGGAGGCUAUUAUUUCUUGCAGACUGCAGCACAUUGUGGGAUAAUGUGUUCAAAAAUGGACCUUGAAACCCGUGAAGGUGGUGGUUGCCAGCAGGUUUCAAUUCUCAUGGUCACAUCUGACAGAGAAAAGGAACAGUAUGAGAAAUUUAUGAACAUACUUAAGAAUCUUUCAAAUUGUACUGAUAUAUCUCAGGUCGUGGCAGAUGCUAAAAAAAUCUAUGAUUCCAGGGAAUUUUGUUAUGUGCCUGCCCUUCUCACUCUGUUCAAGAAGUUGCCUUCUGUUCAUAAAUGGCCUGAAAAUGAAAACUGUAAUGAGGUGCUAAGUGCUGCCUUCUUUGUGUGCCAGCUCUUAUUUUUUCAUAACUUCCCAGCCUCACCAGCUUUUACAGUGGAUGAAAUGUUUGCAACAGUGGCUGCUAGAUUGAAGGAUCUGAUAGAAUAUUCAUGUGACUGUGAGAACUGUGAAUUGUUGGCUGAAUCCCUGACAAAUUAUAAGUUUUCCCUGGUACCUAUAAAGAUCAGGCCACACACCGAUACCUGUGUCUCACUGAAAACACUCCAGCGGCUACGGACUGCCAUGUUAGGCAAUCCUGAAACCCUGAGUAUUUGGACCCUUGAUGACCUGGUGGAGGACCCAGUAGUCUUCAAAGGCUAUGAAAGCGCAAUUAGGAGAGAAUUUGCUGAGCAUGUCACAUGUUUGAACAUGUGCUGGGUUGUGAAGAUAAUCUUGGACUGCAUGUCUCAGCCAACAGCUCUGCUUCGGGAUUGUAUUCAGAAGGGUGCAAAGAAUAAUGGACUCCAGCUGGACACUUCGAGUACCUGGACGUGGCCAGCAGCACGUAUUGCUGAAAAGGAAGUCAUAGAACAUACCAUGAGUGUUUGUGUACAGGAUAUGACUAGAAGUCAUGAUCAGGAAUUCUACACAGAGGCCUUUAAGGAAGAUCUCCAUAUAGGAUUAAAGAGACUAGUUGCCAUGGUCCUUGGGCAGAAUCAUAGUUGGUUAGAUGGCUUUCUGACAGACACUAUAGUGACAGGUAAAGCAUAGCCUGGGGCAUAGUUCUUUGAUGAAUCAUCAUAAAUAUGAUGGCUAAUGUGGUCCUUUUGUGUAUUAAUGCAGAUAUGUUUAUGUAUCCAGGUGUGUUGCUUGAAAGGUAUUUUGCUGUACUAACCCAACACCACCUAUUUAUCAUGUUUGGAAGCCUAUUAAAAACUGUGCUAUUGAC
rnacentral:tmRNA from 1 species